UGAUGAAGUCUCACUCUGUCACCCAAGCUGGAGUGCACUAAUGUGAUCGUAGCUCAUUGCAGUCUGGAACUCUUGGGCUCAAGCAGAUGUUGGAGCACAGAGGAAUGCGUUGACCAGUGACCCAGCUGCUGCUCUCAGAAAUCUACCAAUCGCCAUGUUUCCAUGGAGGCCAAGCUUUCCCAACUGCUCCCAGACAGUGAUUGAGCAUGGCAGGAUUCUCAGGCAAGCCCACUCCUGGGAAAUGCACCACCUCUAUCAUGGGCUCCCCAUCAGCUUUGCAGAAACUUUUGCAGAACCUCGUGCGAAGUCUUGCCCUGCCCUGUGUUCCCGUCUUUCCCUUCUCCCCUGGUGCUAGACUUGCGCUGUGGUCUGAUGACUCUCCUGGACUCUGCUGGCUUCCUUCCCAUUUUCCCUUGCAGGAGUUUUCUCUAAUAAAUCUCUUACACUCUUA